AUAUCAAUAAGCGGAGGAAAAGAAACCAACAGGGAUUGCCCCAGUAAUGGCGAAUGAAGCGGCAAGAGCCCAAAUUUGAAAUCAGGCCCUCGCGGCUUGAGUUGUAAUUUGGAGACGGGAUACUAGAGAGAGGGAGGGCGACUAAGUGCCUUGGAACAGGCUGCCGUAGAGGGUGAGAGCCCCGUGAGUCGCGUGAACUUGAUCAAUUAGUGCCCGCCGAAGAGUCGAGUUGUUUGGGAAUGCAGCUCUAAGUGGGUGGUAUAUUCCAUCUAAGGCUAAAUAUUAGCGAGAGACCGAUAGCAAACAAGUACAGUGAUGGAAAGAUGAAAAGAACUUUGGAAAGAGAGUGAAAUAGUACGUGAAAUUGUUGAAAGGGAAGGGUAUUUGAUCCGACAUGGUGUUUAGCAGCGGCCCGUUCCUCGUGGAUGGGUGCACCUGGUUUACACUGGGCCAGCAUCGGUUCUGGGAGCCAUAUACGGGGCAGGCGAAUGUGGCCCUUCGAUUCUGUCGGAGGGUGUUAUAGCGCCAGCCAGACGUGGCUAUCCGGGACCGGGGACUGCGGCGAUUCUAUCGCCAAGGAUGCUGGCAGAACGAGCAAAUACCGCCCGUCUUGAAACACGGA
rnacentral:rRNA from 1 species